rnacentral:rRNA from 1 species
GUGAGGAAUAUUGGUCAAUGGACGAGAGUCUGAACCAGCCAAGUCGCGUGAAGGAAGACGGUUCUAUGAAUUGUAAACUUCUUUUGUGCAGGAAUAAAGUGGGUUACGUGUAACCUUUUGUAUGUACUGUACGAAUAAGGAUCGGCUAACUCCGUGCCAGCAGCCGCGGUAAUACGGAGGAUCCGAGCGUUAUCCGGAUUUAUUGGGUUUAACGGGUGCGUAGGUGGAUUGAUAAGUCAGCGGUGAAAGUUUGCAGCUUAACUGUAAAAUUGCCGUUGAAACUGUCGGUCUUGAGUGCAAAUGAGGUAGGCGGAAUGUGUUGUGUAGCGGUGAAAUGCUUAGAUAUAACACAGAACUCCGAUUGCGAAGGCAGCUUACUGGGAUGCAACUGACACUGAUGCACGAAAGCGUGGGUAUCAAACAGGAUUAGAUACCCGAGUAGUCC